UAUCUCUGUAGAGUCUGCAUAUCAAUAAGCGGAGGAAAAGAAACUAACAAGGAUUCCCCUAGUAACGGCGAGUGAAGCGGGAAGAGCUCAAAUUUGAAAUCUUCAAGGUUUGACCUUGACGAAUUGUAGUUUAAAGAAGUGUUUUCGGUUAGAGGAGUAGUAAAAGUUCUUUGGAAUAGGACAUCAUAGAGGGUGAGAAUCCCGUAUUUGACUAUUCUUUCUAGCUUUGUGAUACACUUUCAAAGAGUCGGAUUGUUUGGGAAUGCAGUCCAAAAUGGGUGGUAAAUUUCAUCUAAAGCUAAAUAUUGGCGAGAGACCGAUAGCGAACAAGUACCGUGAGGGAAAGAUGAAAAGAACUUUGAAAAGAGAGUCAAACAGUACGUGAAAUUGUCAAAAGGGAAGCGUUUGACACCAGUGUUGUUUUUCCGAAAAUCAAUUAAAAAUUGAUUCAUGCCAGGUUGUAUUGACCUUAUCAGCUUGCAAUUUGGUUUUGGGUCUCUUUUUGAUGCACUUUUCGGUUAACAAGUCAACAUCAAUUUCCUUUGCUGUAAAAAGGUAAGAGGAAGGUGGCUUCAAUUUCGGUUGAAGUGUUUAUAGCCUUUUAUCUCUGCAGUCGGGGAGAUUGAGGUCUGCAGCGUAGAUCCUUCGGGGCUAGAUACAUUUAUGCUAAGUUAUAGCUUUUCAUAGACAACUUGUUGACUAUGUUUAGUCAUGUAGCUUACUCGUAAGUGCUAUUUUACCUACGCUUAGGAUGUUGAAGACUCUACAGAGAUA
rnacentral:rRNA from 1 species